UUUGGUGUAGGUGGAGCAAUUUGUCAUCAUACUAUCCUUCAUUCAUGCGUUCUGAUUGAUCACCAAUCAUAUCGAGUCAUGCACCGUCACCAUCCUUUCUUUUGACUUUAAUCUUGAGCAGAGUACCAAGGAUACUUUCACAGACGUUCUUCUCUACGUGCAUGAAUCAUGAUAUCAAUGAAGUGACGUACACUUACGAUCAGUUUUCC
rnacentral:lncRNA from 1 species